AUAAUUUUAAAUUAUAAAGUAUAUUCGGAGAAACAAGAUAUUUGUAAGAAAAAAUUCAAUGCCUUUGAAGCAAUAGACGUAGCUUUUAUUCGUCGGCAAAUUUUACGAAUAAUAAUACGUUUCUACAUUUUCGUAUUAUUUUCUUUGUUGCUCUUUCAUAAAAGAAAAAAAGAAAAAAUCGCCUAUAGUUUUAACGACAGUCCGACAUGUUCCGAGGAUCCCGGUGAUUAGUUUUUCGAGUACUUCUCUAAUUGAAUAUUUUUCCAUGCUUAUUUUUGUAGAAGUUGGCAAAGAUGUCCCAGCGGGAAAGUUCAUUUUAAGGAUUGAAUUAAACGGGUUGUAAUAAAAUAUGUAAAAGCAUUAAUGCUAUGUAAAUAAAAACAAACGUUGAAAUCUUUUUUUACAAAUAUAAUUCAACUCGUUAAUCGUGUCGGAUAAAUUAUCGGUAUAUUCGAUAUUUUUGAUGGAAAUGAAAAACUUUGGCGGGUAGUAUAAUAUAUGGGUGAUAAAGAUAUUUUUCAAUGCGAUUUAGAAAGAAAGAAAAGUUUCGUUAUAAUAAUCUGGUUAAAGAAACGAUGUUUUACGAGGAUGUUUUCUGAGAUUUCAUAGGAGUCUUGGCAUCUCGUAAAAUUCUUCAACGAAAAGUGCAACCGUUAAAGAAGAGGGAGUAGAAGAGAAGAGCUUAGGAUAUAAGUAGAAGUGCUCCCUUGAGAGGGCCUCGUUCGAGUAGGCGAGAAGAAGAAAGAGGAAAAGGGAAAAGUGAAGCCAAGAGGCAAAGAAGAGGGAAGAACAGCAAGCAUCAUAUUCUUAGAAGUCGCGAGAAGAAAAGAAUCUACCAACAACAGCACCAGUAGCAUCAGUAGCAGAA
rnacentral:lncRNA from 1 species